rnacentral:tRNA from 1 species
GGGCCAGUAGCUAAACGGCUAAAGCACCUGUCUCUUAAACAGGGGACUCAAGGGCGCGAAUCCUUGCUGGCUCA